UCUUCACAUUCUGAUCAAGUCAGUGAUGCUGUCUUUAGAUGAGUUUCAGACAUAAAUAGGGUCUUCAAACGUUUUAGUUUAACAUAAAACACCAUUAAAUAUUAGUUUAUAAAAUAUGCCAAACUCAAAUUAAAGCUGAAAAUGCUUUAUUUAGACCAACUGCAAGUGCAAAUAUUCACACCCCAUCCCGUUCUCUCAGAUCUUCUUCUUCCAUCCAUCUUGCGGUUCCUUCUGCCCGUCUCGCUACCAUGGGGAGCAGAGCUUUCAGCCGCUCUGCUCCUCGUCUCUGGAACUCACUUCCCCCAGACAUCAGGAACAUCGACAGUGUUACCCUUUUCAAAACAAAACUCAAAACACAUAUGUUUAAAUCUGCCUACAACCUCUGAUUUUAUUGAACUGUUUCUCUCUGUUUUUUUUUUCUUGUUUGGGUUUUGUUAUUGUUUUAUUGUAUUUUAUUACGUGUUUUCUGUCAAGUGACCUUGGGUGUCCUGAAAGGCGCUUUUAAAUAAAAUGUAUUAUUAUUAUAACUGUGAGCAUGUGACUGUACUUUUUCAUUUUGUUAUACUGUUUUGUUGAGGUCGUGUUCCUAAGACCUGUAGUUACAGCUGGUGCUAUUAGCAAUAAACAUUUCACACCCAUCAUGAUGAUGUCUGUUAACUUGUGAAUGUAACUGUCUUGAAAAAAAGGAAUCUUGCAGUGAAGCUCAUUCCCGGGCAGUGGUCAGAAAAAAAGAGCUUUGACUUGAAGGGUUUUCCAAGCCAAGACUACGGAGUUGACUGUGGGAUCUUCAUGCUGAUGUCUGCUCUGUACGUGGCACUGGAUGCACCAUUUGACUAUACUAUAUCAGACAUGCCCUACUUGCGUAAAUGGUGGUGCUUGCUGUUGAUGGAGAACUUUGAUCUCAGGAGAUAUUUAUAUUUUGACUUCUGUUCUAUGUUGUGUCAAAGUUUACACACCUUAACAAUAUCAAAAUUUUCUGUUAAGCUCUGGUAAGCUAUUUGCACACUAGAGAGAGGAAACCAAAGCUGUGCUUGAAGGGCAACACGUGCCCAUUUUCAGACUGACAAAGCACAAGUUCCAGGAAGUCAGUCAGGAGCCAGCAGUUGUUGAAGAUCUGCGUCCUGCUGUGCAGUGGGUUGUCCAAAAUAAGGCACUUUUCCGUGGACACGUAACAAUGCCAAAAUAUCUGUCCUUAAAUCAAGGGGACCAGCAGAGGGUAUUAAGAGACAUGUCAGAGGAAGAAGACACUGGAGCAAGGGGCAUGUUCCUCUUUGUUUUUCAGUUUGCAGAGGACAUGGAGCUCUUUUUGAAAGCAUGUGCUGAUGAGCA